rnacentral:rRNA from 1 species
GUCUAUGGCUAUGCCACCUUGAACAUGCCCAAUCCCAUCUGAUCUCAGAAGCUAAGCAGGGUCGGGCCUGGUUAGUACUUGGAUGGGAGACCACCUAGGAAGACCGGGUGCUGUAGGCA